UUUAAGCAUAUAAGUAAGCGGAGGAAAAGGAACUAAAUAGGAUUCCCUCAGUAAUGGCGAAUGAACAAGGAUGAGCUCAGGCUGGAAACCGAUACAUCUGUGUCGGGCUGUAGCCUGCAGGCAUAGCGCUAUCGGCGGCUCGAGCGCAAGCCUCUUGGAAUAGAGCGUGUGCCCAGGUGAGAAUCCUGCAUUUCGCUCGAUGUCCGCUGUCCACAGUGCUUGUCCUGAGAGUCACGCUCCUCGGAAUUGGAGCGUAAAUCAGGUGGUAAGUUUUAUCCAAAGCUAAAUAGAAGCUCGAGACCAAUAGCAAACAAGUACCAUGAGGGAAAGAUGAAAAGGACUUUGGAAAGAGAGUUAAAAGUGUUUGAAAUUGCUGAGAGCGAAGCGAACGGAGCCACAUGUCGUGCUGAGAUUGCUGUGGGUCUUUGUGAGCCUUGAGCAUGUAAGCGCAAGCUGACUGCUUAUGUGUGAGCAUUUGCCCGCAGUGUUUCUCAGCAUGCGAGUCAUUAGCCACAUUUGUUUGAGGAUGGCCUUCAGCUCACAUGGUACACUUGUUAGUGUUCCUCUGUGCGGUGUGGGACUCAGACAGGUGUGGCUUGUUGACCCAGUGGUUUUUUUCCGACCCGUCUUGAAACACGGACCAAGGAG
rnacentral:rRNA from 1 species